UAUUAUUAUUAUUAUUAUUAUUGUCAUUUGAUUUUUUCGCUGGAUAAGAAAAGAAAACUAAAUCAAUAUGUGUAGGUGUGAAGUAGAGCCUGUAGUCUUACGAGUUUGGGUCUUGUGUCCAGAUCUGAAAAUUUUCAUGGUUGUCAUAUUUACCGGAAUGAAAAAUGUGCUUGCAAGAGUUAGUCUACCUGCAAGCAUAAGGCUUCAUCAUUUUUUUGUAUGCACCAUCUGUUAUCACUGUUACCAUGCCAGAAUCUAUCAAAGCUGACUUUGUUCAUCAUUCCACCCUGAACUGAAUGCAUCAAUACAAUGAGAAACUAUUCUUGCUUGAUUUCACUUAAAUAAGAAGAUAAUUAAAAUCUGAAGUAGAUAAAAAGUUGAUAACUAAGUCAUAUCCGUGCAACAACUAGAUAUCAACAACUUAUACAAGCAAGCUGAUCACUUCACAAUGAUUUUGUGUCGUGAAGUGACCAUCAGGCUAAUGAGUGGCAUGUUAAUGGCACUAACAUUUAACAUUUUUUGUUGAGAUGACAUAAACUGUAGGUGAAAUAGUAGACUAUAGACUGGCCACUGAAAAGGGGUAAGCAUAAUGAUUUUAGCACUAUUUCAUUCCUAAAGAAAUGAACAAUGCAUAAUAAUUUUAGAACCAUUUUCUUCUGUUUAUGCUUUCAUGCAUUGUCUUCUGUGCAGUCAUGUGAUGUAAUCUACCCUCCAAUUCCAUGGUUUAGGGGAGGGGUAGAAAAGUAUUACUAAUUACACAAUGAUCAUUUGUAAGAAGAUUAUUUCACUAGGGCAUCUGAAAAGAUAUUUCUUUUCAAUCCAUUGAUCGAUACUGUUAUGUCUCGCCCUUUCUCUCUCUAUCUCUCUUCUUCUUCUUUUUUUUUGUUCCUUUUUUUGUCCUUAAAUUUCUUUUUUCCAAUUCACUUUGUUUUUUUACCCUGUAGCAUCCAGGAACAACUAUUGUUACA
rnacentral:misc_RNA from 1 species